rnacentral:rRNA from 1 species
AAGCUCGUAGUUGAAUUUCGGGAUCAAUGUUUCGGUCAUGCCGUUGGUAUGUACUGAUAUUAUUGGUUUCUCACCUUCUAAAGAACCGUAAUGCCAUUAAUUUGAUGUCACGGGGAAUUAGGACUGUUACCUUGAAAAAAUUAGAGUGUUCAUUGCAGGCUCACGCUUGAAUACAUUAGCAUGGAAUAAUGGAAUAGGACAUCCGAUUCUAUUUUGUUGGUUUCUAGGAUCGAUGUAAUGAUUAAUAGGGAUAGUUGGGGGCAUUAGUAUUCAAUUGUCAGAGGUGUAAUUCUUGGAUUUAUUGAAGACUAACUACUGCGAAAGCAUUUGCCAAGGAUGUUUUCAUUAAUCAAGAACGAAAGUUAGGGGAUCGAAGACGAUCAGAUACCGUCGUAGUCUUAACCAUAAACUAUGCCGACUAGGGAUCGGAUGAUGUUAAUUUUUUAAUGACUCAUUCGGCGCCUUACGGGAAACCAAAGUGUUUGGGUUCCGGGGGGAGUAUGGUCGCAAGGCUGAAACUUAAAGGAAUUGACGGAAGGGCACCACCAGGCGUGGAGCCUGCGGCUUAAUUUGACUCAACACGGGGAAACUUACCAGGUCCAGACAUAGCAAGGAUUGACAGACUGAGAGCUCUUUCUUGAUUCUAUGGGUG